rnacentral:rRNA from 1 species
UACGAAGGGGGCUAGCGUUGCUCGGAAUCACUGGGCGUAAAGCGCACGUAGGCGGAUUGUUAAGUCAGGGGUGAAAUCCUGGAGCUCAACUCCAGAACUGCCUUUGAUACUGGCGAUCUUGAGUCCGGGAGAGGUGAGUGGAACUGCGAGUGUAGAGGUGAAAUUCGUAGAUAUUCGCAAGAACACCAGUGGCGAAGGCGGCUCACUGGCCGGUACUGACGCUGAGGUGCGAAAGCGUGGGAGCAACAGG